rnacentral:rRNA from 1 species
CUAGCCGUAAACGAUGGGUACUAGGUGUUGGGGGUAUCGACCCCUCCAGUGCCGGAGUUAACGCAAUAAGUACCCCGCCUGGGGAGUACGGCCGCAAGGUUGAAACUCAAAGGAAUUGACGGGGGCCCGCACAAGCGGUGGAGUAUGUGGUUUAAUUCGACGCAACGCGAAGAACCUUACCAAGACUUGACAUCGUCUGAUGACUCUAGAGAUAGAGAGUUCACCUUCGGGUGACAGAUAGACAGGUGG